GAGUUUGAUCCUGGCUCAGAACGAACGCUGGCGGCAGGCUUAACACAUGCAAGUCGAACGCCCCGCAAGGGGAGUGGCAGACGGGUGAGUAACACGUGGGAACGUGCCCAAAGGUACGGAACAACUCCGGGAAACUGGAGCUAAUACCGUAUGUGUCCGCAAGGAGAAAGAUUUAUCGCCUUUGGAUCGGCCCGCGUUGGAUUAGCUAGUUGGUGGGGUAAUGGCCUACCAAGGCGACGAUCCAUAGCUGGUUUGAGAGAACGACCAGCCACACUGGGACUGAGACACGGCCCAGACUCCUACGGGAGGCAGCAGUGGGGAAUCUUGGACAAUGGGCGCAAGCCUGAUCCAGCCAUGCCGCGUGGAUGAUGAAGGCCUUAGGGUUGUAAAAUCCUUUCGUUGGGGACGAUAAUGACGGUACCCAAAGAAGAAGCCCCGGCUAACUUCGUGCCAGCCGCCGCGGUAAC
rnacentral:rRNA from 1 species